CGCACAUUGCGCCCCUUGGUAUUCCGAAGGGCAUGCCUGUUCGAGCGUCAUUUCAACCCUCAAGCCUAGCUUGGUAUUGGACGCGGUCCUAGGACCCGUCCGCAACCCGUUGGCGGUACCGUCCGGCCUCAAGCGUAACAGAAAUCUCGCUUCUGGGUUGACGCGGCGUCUGCCAGAGGAACCACCCAACUCCUAUAGUUUGACCUUGGAUCAGGUAGGGUUACCCGCUGAACUUAA
rnacentral:misc_RNA from 1 species